ensembl:ncRNA W06H8.5 ncRNA
AGUUGUGUUUGAUACGGCACUUUCACGGUGUCUUGUCAUACAUAUCGUUGUGAAUAGUCUCUAGAUAUUUUCCACAUUUAUCCAACCUAAUAUUUUGGUGUACUACUGCCUAGUGAUCUCCCGACCGGGCCUAUCUCCCAUUCUCUCCAUAUUUCGGUUCUCUUUUUCUCUCACUCAAAAAUGGUUCUCUUCUACACUUUUUUACAUGUUUUUCUAUUCCUUUCCCCAUAUUCUGGUUUCCAAAUCUCAGUUUUUGCAACUCUCACGACAUGUGCAUUUCUUUAGAAGACUCCACACCUGUUUUUUUAAAAUUAGUUCCGGUGUUACGAUUGUUGAGCGUAAUGUAAUAAGGCAAGUGUACAUACUCCCUUCCCCUUUGAAAUGUGUAUCAUAUAAUGGUAACUUGUUUGUAUCCUCACUCACCUUGAUCCAUCUCCAUCUUAUGCAAUCUCGGUUAUUUUUACGUGGUCCCUUAUUCCAUCCAAUGUGUGAAACAUUCCACUGGUUGCCACGUCAAGGUUCCAAAUUCCCGAGUGAAACAAAAUCAUGACCUGGCAACCUGUGGUUAGUACAAAGAAGCCUCCUCUCAGAAAAACGCGGUUAUUAUCUUAUCCCAUUCUCAAUUGCCUCUUCUCACCUCUUGUCUAGUCAUCAAAAGCCCCCAAUUGACUUACCGUACUUGUUACACAUUUCUCUGUUUUAUAUCUGCCCUGCCUUAAAAUCUCUGUUUCCAUCCGUUCCCAAAACGAGUAUUCUUCCCAAAACACACAAAAAGUUUAGGAGUGUAGUAGGUUACUGUAGCUAGCUACUAUGUGUAUCUGCAUUUUCUCUUAUCUAGAAAACGUCCGGGUCGUUCUCCCACCACUAAAAAAUGUUCCAUCUCAUUCUCUUUUUAACGUUAAGUCGUUUUGUUUUGUUGUCUGCGUUCAGGGAUUGUUUCUUUCUUUAAUUUUUAUUUUUUCUUCACUACCAAAUCAUUGUUGUUUUCUUCCGUUUGCCACCUUCGGGUCACAAAUCUUUUUUUUCCAAAAUUUGCUAUUAAUGUGUUUUUUCUCAUCAUUUGGCGAAGCCGGUAUUUCAUUCCAUCUCUGUUUUCCAACCCGUCCCAAAUAGUUGUCCCACUUCCCCCCGUUAAUGAUAAUGAUUCAGUAGCCAAUUUUGUUUUCUUUUCCUUCUAGAAUCUCUGAAAAUCCUCUCAUUGUCUUCCCCACAGGUUCAAUCCGUAUUCAUUUGCGCCGCGCGCAACCCUCCAUCUUUUCCAACCAGCUUUACCCAUUUCAGUAAGUGCCCCGUCACUCUUACCAUUCUCUUUCACAUCCUCCACUCUCUUCAAUUUGCUUUUACCGUUUCUAGAUUUGAUUCUGUAGACUAAUAUGCGAGUGUGAGUGAGAUUUUGCGAGUGUGUGAGUUUGACUGCGCGCCGAACAGCCUAAAUCUGAAAAGUUUGGCGCGCGCACGUGGCGCAGUGAUUCGGUUGGAAUAUGUGGAUUUACAAUAAGGGUGAAAAAAAAAGACUUUUGAAAGAAAAGAAAAUGAAAAAAAAACCAAAAAAAAAUUGAAGAAACGAUAAGAACGAUCCCUAAAAUCCACAGCACAACAGACAACCGAACACUUCGAUCCACGACCCAGUGUACUUUCUAGAUCAGUCAGAUCCGGAAACCACCAACUUCCCCAAAAACCUUUUGAAUUGUAUCCACCUUUAGUUUACUCGCAUUCAGAACCCCCACAAUCCUCCCUCAACAUUGUAUCACUGGUCCCACCGGCGUCAGAGAUGUCCCUAAACAUUUCAAAAUCUUUGACCGGUGAGCCAGACGACCUUCAUUCCGUCAUCUCAAAAAAACAAAACAUGCCAAAAGAAAUACAUGUAUGAACAAACAAAACAGACAUCUUCCCGGAUCCCAAGUCACUAUCUAGUUAGUUAAGAAUACCUCUCUUGUCAAUUAACUUUAAUAUUUUCUUAAAUAAUCCAACAACCAUCUCUCAAUGUGCAACCCGUCAAAACACAAAAAAAGCUCUUUAACAUGGAUUUAGUCGUGUAUAAAUUUUCCAUUCUUGUCUCUUGUCACCACCACCCCAAAACAUAAUGUGAUUCCCACCUCAACUAAUUCUCAGUCAGUUUUGCAUUUUUUGUGUCUCCUACCAUCAGUGUGUACCGGUGUACGUUUGUGAGUGAGUGUGCUCCAAAUUGGAGCCUCGCGUAUGAACGGUGUCCUUUUUCAUUUUUAUUCGACUUUCCCCUCCUCAUCUUUUGUACUGUUCUUCUUCUACAUUCUCCUUUCAAUCAUUCUUUUCCAAUCUACAAACCCGAUCAACUCAGUGUGCUUUUUGCCGAUUUUUCUCUCUCGAUUGUGUCGAUAAUUUAUGUAUUUUUGCUUCAUUUCAACCUUCCCCCGACAGAUAAUAUAUUGAUUAUUCGACCUCUCCCUUUCCCCCCAAUAGUGUCUUAUUUCUAUCUCUAUUCCCUUUUCGUUUGAACUCGAUUUCAUACGCGGUGUGAAGGCUAUAAAUAAAUACGUUUUUGUUAG